rnacentral:rRNA from 1 species
GAGUUUGAUCCUGGCUCAGAGUGAACGCUGGCGGCGUGCCUAAUACAUGCAAGUCGAACGAUGAAGCUUCUAGCUUGCUAGAAUGCUGAUUAGUGGCGCACGGGUGAGUAACGCAUAGGUCAUGUGCCUCUUAGUUUGGGAUAGCCAUUGGAAACGAUGAUUAAUACCAGAUACUCCCUACGGGGGAAAGAUUUAUCGCUAAGAGAUCAGCCUAUGUCCUAUCAGCUUGUUGGUAAGGUAAUGGCUUACCAAGGCUAUGACGGGUAUCCGGCCUGAGAGGGUGAACGGACACACUGGAACUGAGACACGGUCCAGACUCCUACGGGAGGCAGCAGUAGGGAAUAUUGCUCAAUGGGGGAAACCCUGAAGCAGCAACGCCGCGUGGAGGAUGAAGGUUUUAGGAUUGUAAACUCCUUUUGUUAGAGAAGAUAAUGACGGUAUCUGACGAAUAAGCACCGGCUAACUCCGUGCCAGCAGCCGCGGUAAUACGGAGGGUGCAAGCGUUACUCGGAAUCACUGGGCGUAAAGAGCGCGUAGGCGGGAUAGUCAGUCAGGUGUGAAAUCCUAUGGCUUAACCAUAGAACUGCAUUUGAAACUACUAUUCUAGAGUGUGGGAGAGGUAGGUGGAAUUCUUGGUGUAGGGGUAAAAUCCGUAGAGAUCAAGAGGAAUACUCAUUGCGAAGGCGACCUGCUGGAACAUUACUGACGCUGAUUGCGCGAAAGCGUGGGGAGCAAACAGGAUUAGAUACCCUGGUAGUCCACGCCCUAAACGAUGGAUGCUAGUUGUUGGAGGGCUUAGUCUCUCCAGUAAUGCAGCUAACGCAUUAAGCAUCCCGCCUGGGGAGUACGGUCGCAAGAUUAAAACUCAAAGGAAUAGACGGGGACCCGCACAAGCGGUGGAGCAUGUGGUUUAAUUCGAAGAUACACGAAGAACCUUACCUAGGCUUGACAUUGAGAGAAUCCGCUAGAAAUAGUGGAGUGUCUGGCUUGCUAGACCUUGAAAACAGGUGCUGCACGGCUGUCGUCAGCUCGUGUCGUGAGAUGUUGGGUUAAGUCCCGCAACGAGCGCAACCCCCUUUCUUAGUUGCUAACAGGUCAUGCUGAGAACUCUAAGGAUACUGCCUCCGUAAGGAGGAGGAAGGUGGGGACGACGUCAAGUCAUCAUGGCCCUUACGCCUAGGGCUACACACGUGCUACAAUGGGGUGCACAAAGAGAAGCAAUACUGCGAAGUGGAGCCAAUCUUCAAAACACCUCUCAGUUCGGAUUGUAGGCUGCAACUCGCCUGCAUGAAGCUGGAAUCGCUAGUAAUCGCAAAUCAGCCAUGUUGCGGUGAAUACGUUCCCGGGUCUUGUACUCACCGCCCGUCACACCAUGGGAGUUGUGUUUGCCUUAAGUCAGGAUGCUAAAUUGGCUACUGCCCACGGCACACACAGCGACUGGGGUGAAGUCGUAACAAGGUAACCGUAGGUGAACCUGCGGUUGGAUCACC